CCGAACCCACGAACGUUGAAAAGUUCGGGGAUGACUUGUGGGUAGCGGUGAAAUUCCAAUCGAACUCGGAGAUAGCUGGUUCUCCCCGAAAUAGCUUUAGGGCUAGCCUUGAAUGUAGAGAUGUGGAGGUAGAGCACUGAAUGUCCUAGGGGGUAUUGCACUUACCGAAGACUAUCAAACUCCGAAUGCCAUUAUCUUUUAUUCAGGAGUCAGACUAUGGGUGAUAAGGUUCAUAGUCGAAAGGGAAAGAGCCCAGACCGUCAGCUAAGGUCCCUAAAUGUAUGUUAAGUGGUAAAGGAUGUGGGAUUGCACAGACAACCAGGAUGUUGGCUUAGAAGCAGCCACUCAUUUAAAGAGUGCGUAAUAGCUCACUGGUCGAGUGAUCCUGCGCCGAAGAUUUCCGGGGCUAAAACAUACUACCGAAGCUACGGCAUCAUAUGAUGAUGGGUAGGGGAGCUUCCCAUGCAGGCUGAAGCGAUACCGUAAGGAGUCGUGGACAGUAUGGGAGAGAGAAUGUUGGCAUGAGUAGCGAGAUGAGGGUGAGAAUCCCUCAGGCCGUAAACCCAAGGUUUCCAGGGGAAGGUUCGUCCACCCUGGGUUAGUCGGGACCUAAGCUCAGGCCGAAAGGCGUAGGCGAUGGACAACAGGUUGAGAUUCCUGUACUACCGAUAAUCGUUUGAGAGAAGGGAUGACACAGUAGGAUAAGCUGAGCACACUGUUGGUUAAGUGUGUCUAAGCGUUGAGGCAGACUAGAUAGGCAAAUCCGUUUAGUUAAUGCUGGGGCGCGAUGGGGAGCGAAACUAAGUAGCGAAGCAGCUGAUUUCACACUGUCGAGAAAAGUCUCUAUCGAGAUUAAAGGUACCCGUACCGCAAACCGACACAGGUGGGUGAGGAGAGUAUCCUAAGGCCAGCGAGAGAACUGUUGUUAAGGAACUCGGCAAAAUGACCCCGUAACUUAGGGAUAAGGGGUGCCCCAGCAAUGGGGCCGCAGAGAAUUGGCCCAAGCGACUGUUUACCAAAAACAUAGGUUUCUGCUAAGUCGCAAGACGAUGUAUAGGAGCUGACGCCUGCCCGGUGCUGGAAGGUUAAGGGGAUCUGUAAGAGCAAUCGAAGCAGUGAUCUUAAGCCCCAGUAAACGGCGGCCGUAACUAUAACGGUCCUAAGGUAGCGAAAUUCCUUGUCGGGUAAGUUCCGACCCGCACGAAAGGCGUAACGAUUUGGGCACUGUCUCAACAACAGACUCGGUGAAAUUGUAAUCCCGGUGAAGAUGCCGGGUACCUGCGACAGGACGGAAAGACCCCAUGGAGCUUUACUGUAGCUUGACAUUGGGUUUCGAUACUACAUGUACAGGAUAGGUGGGAGACUAAGAAAUCAGGGCGUCAGUUUUGAUGGAGUCACCCUUGGGAUACCACCCUUGUAGUAUUGGGACUCUAACCAUAGGCCAUGAAUCUGGUCUUGGGACACUGUCUGGUGGGCAGUUUGACUGGGGCGGUCGCCUCCCAAAAGGUAACGGAGGCGCUCAAAGGUUCCCUCAGUACGGUCGGAAAUCGUACGAAGAGUGUAAAGGCAAAAGGGAGCUUGAUUGCAAGACAUACAGGUCGAGCAAGGUAGAAAUACGGACUUAGUGAUCCGGUGGUUCUGAGUGGAAGGGCCAUCGCUCAACGGAUAAAAGCUACCCUGGGGAUAACAGGCUUAUCU
rnacentral:rRNA from 1 species